rnacentral:rRNA from 1 species
GACGAACGCUGGCGGCGUGCUUAACACAUGCAAGUCGAGCGGAAAGGCCACUUCGGUGGUACUCGAGCGGCGCACGGGUGCGUAACACGUGCGUAAUCUGCCCCUCACUUUGGGAUAGCCACCGGAAACGGUGAUUAAUACCGGAUAUGACCAUAUGUCGCAUGGCGUGUGGUGGAAAGUUUUUCGGUGAGGGAUGUGCUCGCGGCCUAUCAGCUUGAUGGUGAGGUAAUGGCUCACCAUGGCUUCGACGGGUAGCCGGCCUGAGAGGGUGACCGGUCACACUGGGACUGAGACACGGCCCAGACUCCUACGGGAGGCAGCAGUGGGGAAUAUUGGACAAUGGGCGGAAGCCUGAUCCAGCAACGCCGCGUGAGGGAUGACGGCCUUCGGGUUGUAAACCUCUUUCAGUACCGACGAAGCGCAAGUGACGGUAGGUACAGAAGAAGCACCGGCCAACUACGUG